rnacentral:rRNA from 1 species
AGAGUUUGAUCCUGGCUCAGGACGAACGCUGGCGGCGUGCCUAACACAUGCAAGUCGAGCGGGGACUUGUUGAGGAAGUCUUCGGAUGGAAUCGAUAAGUUCUAGCGGCGGACGGGUGAGUAACGCGUGAGCAACCUGCCCUCCACAGGGGGAUAACGCACCGAAAGGUGCACUAAUACCGCAUAAGACCACGUUUCUGACAUGGGAAUGAGGUCAAAGGAGCAAUCCGGUGGAAGAUGGGCUCGCGUCUGAUUAGCUAGUUGGUGAGGUAACGGCCCACCAAGGCGACGAUCAGUAGCCGACCUGAGAGGGUGAUCGGCCACAUUGGAACUGAGAGACGGUCCAAACUCCUACGGGAGGCAGCAGUGGGGAAUAUUGGGCAAUGGGCGAAAGCCUGACCCAGCAACGCCGCGUGAAGGAAGAAGGUUUUCGGAUCGUAAACUUCUAUCCUUGGUGAAGAUAAUGACGGUAGCCAAGAAGGAAGCCCCGGCUAACUACGUGCCAGCAGCCGCGGUAAUACGUAGGGGGCAAGCGUUGUCCGGAAUGAUUGGGCGUAAAGGGCGCGUAGGCGGCCAACUAAGUCUGGAGUGAAAGUCCUGCUUUUAAGGUGGGAAUUGCUUUGGAAACUGGAUGGCUUGAGUGCAGGAGAGGUAAGCGGAAUUCCCGGUGUAGCGGUGAAAUGCGUAGAGAUCGGGAGGAACACCAGUGGCGAAGGCGGCUUACUGGACUGUAACUGACGCUGAGGCGCGAAAGUGUGGGGAGCAAACAGGAUUAGAUACCCUGGUAGUCCACACUGUAAACGAUGAAUGCUAGGUGUAGGGGGUAUCGACCCCUUCUGUGCCGGAGUAAACACAAUAAGCAUUCCGCCUGGGGAGUACGGCCGCAAGGUUGAAA